UGCUUUAGCAAAACAUCUUUCGUCCUG
rnacentral:piRNA from 1 species